rnacentral:rRNA from 1 species
GAUGAACGCUGGCGGCGUGCCUAAUACAUGCAAGUCGAGCGAACAGAUAAGGAGCUUGCUCCUUUGACGUUAGCGGCGGACGGGUGAGUAACACGUGGGUAACCUACCUAUAAGACUGGAAUAACUCCGGGAAACCGGGGCUAAUGCCGGAUAACAUUUAGAACCGCAUGGUUCUAAAGUGAAAGAUGGUUUUGCUAUCACUUAUAGAUGGACCCGCGCCGUAUUAGCUAGUUGGUAAGGUAACGGCUUACCAAGGCAACGAUACGUAGCCGACCUGAGAGGGUGAUCGGCCACACUGGAACUGAGACACGGUCCAGACUCCUACGGGAGGCAGUAGUAGGGAAUCUUCCGCAAUGGGCGAAAGCCUGACGGAGCAACGCCGCGUGAGUGAUGAAGGUCUUCGGAUCGUAAAACUCUGUUAUUAGGGAAGAACAAAUGUGUAAGUAACUGUGCACGUCUUGACGGUACCUAAUCAGAAAGCCACGGCUAACUACGUG